CGAGUUACGAUGUCGAUUUGGAGGUUGUGCCCUUGAGGCGUGGCUUCCGAAGCUAACGCGUUAAAUCGACCGCCUGGGGAGUACGGCCGCAAGGUUAAAACUCAAAUGAAUUGACGGGGGCCCGCACAAGCGGUGGAGCAUGUGGUUUAAUUCGAUGCAACGCGAAGAACCUUACCUACUCUUGACAUCCAGCGAAUCCUGUAGAGAUACGGGAGUGCCUUCGGGAACGCUGAGACAGGUGCUGCAUGGCUGUCGUCAGCUCGUGUUGUGAAAUGUUGGGUUAAGUCCCGCAACGAGCGCAACCCUUAUCCUUUGUUGCCAGCGGUUCGGCCGGGAACUCAAAGGAGACUGCCAGUGAUAAACUGGAGGAAGGUGGGGAUGACGUCAAGUCAUCAUGGCCCUUACGAGUAGGGCUACACACGUGCUACAAUGGCGUAUACAAAGAGAAGCGAACUCGCGAGAGCAAGCGGACCUCAUAAAGUACGUCGUAGUCCGGAUUGGAGUCUGCAACUCGACUCCAUGAAGUCGGAAUCGCUAGUAAUCGUGGAUCAGAAUGCCACGGUGAAUACGUUCCCGGGCCUUGUACACACCGCCCGUCACACCAUGGGAGUGGGUUGCAAAAGAAGUAGGUAGCUUAACCUUCGGGAGGGCGCUUACCACUUUGUGAUUCAUGACUGGGGUGAAGUCUGUGGAAUUAACCAUUCCC
rnacentral:rRNA from 1 species